CGAGCUUCACUCAUCACCCUGUGACAUACCUAAAACGUUGCUUCGGCGGGAACAGACGGCCCUGUAACAACGGGCCGCCCCCGCCAGAGGACCCCUAACUCUGUUUUUAUAAUGUUUUUCUGAGUAAACAAGCAAAUAAAUUAAAACUUUCAACAACGGAUCUCUUGGCUCUGGCAUCGAUGAAGAACGCAGCGAAAUGCGAUAAGUAAUGUGAAUUGCAGAAUUCAGUGAAUCAUCGAAUCUUUGAACGCACAUUGCGCCCGCCAGUAUUCUGGCGGGCAUGCCUGUUCGAGCGUCAUUACAACCCUCAGGCCCCCGGGCCUGGCGUUGGGGAUCGGCGGAAGCCCCCUGUGGGCACACGCCGUCCCUCAAAUACAGUGGCGGUCCCGCCGCAGCUUCCAUUGCGUAGUAGCUAACACCUCGCAACUGGAGAGCGGCGCGGCCAUGCCGUAAAACACCCAACUUCUGAAUGUUGACCUCGAAUCAGGUAGGAAUACCCGCUGAACUUAAGCAUAUCAAUAAGCCGGAAGGAAGAUCAUUAACGAGUUAU
rnacentral:rRNA from 1 species